rnacentral:rRNA from 1 species
AUACGUAGGUGGCGAGCGUUGUCCGGAAUUACUGGGUGUAAAGGGUGCGUAGGCGGACUGGCAAGUUGGAUGUGAAAUCUCCGCGCUUAACGUGGAGGUUGCAUUCAAAACUGUUGGUCUUGAGUGAGGCAGAGGCAGGCGGAAUUCCCGGUGUAGCGGUGAAAUGCGUAGAGAUCGGGAGGAACACCAGUGGCGAAGGCGGCCUGCUGGGCCUUAACUGACGCUGAGGCACGAAAGCAUGGGUAGCAAACAGGAUUAGAUACCCUGGUAGUCCAUGCUGUAAACGAUGAUUGCUAGGUGUGGGUGGACUGACCCCAUCCGUGCCGGAGCUAACGCAAUAAGCAAUCCACCUGGGGAGUACGGCCGCAAGGUUGA